UUCAAUUACGAAAGUCACACCAUUUGAUACAGAGAAUUCAACCAUUACCUUUAUUCUAAUCUGUGGACAUAUCACAUUUUAGUUUUGUUUCUGAAUGAAAGCAUUGGAAUAGUUCGAGUUUCGAUUGUCAAAUUUUCCUUGACAACUCUAUAAAUUGUUCUGAAACGUAAAAAUACAAUUUUGAGGACUAGGCGUGCAUGCACAAGGGGUCAACUUGGUUUACUUAAUGGUCAGUUAUUAGAGAAGUCAACUUGUAUGAAAAACAAAAUCCAGUUGGGUCCCAUCUGACGUGAGUGUCGAUGAGAAACGAAGAGGGGAGUUACAACUCAGCGAUACGCAGCCGAUUGUCUUUUCUCCAACUGAGACUUCAGGGAGGAACUCCAAGAUGAGCCAUUCAGCCUUAUAAAAGAGGAAACUCUUGAUAACCAUUACUUGGGUCAACAAAGUCAGAGCAAACCAUUAUCGCCUAGCCAGUUCCAAUAAAAGGGAGAGGGGGGGGGGCUUUGUGGAUUCUUCCUCCUGUGAGUGUGGUGCUUCCGAGGAGGACCUGGAUCACGUGCUCAGGUUCUGUCCCAAGUAUGAUCAUCAUGAAAUCGAGUUCCUAGUAGCAUUGCAACAAGUCCACCACCCACCUUAUAAAGAGAGGAGCCAUUCAUUUGGAAAUCUAGUGACACAGCCAUUGCCGAUUUUAUGGAAGUUUUUCAGUGAUUUCGCUAUUUCAAUUAAUUUCUAAUUUGUCAUUGCCCCGAUUCCAUGAAAGGGAAGGAACAAAAUCAUUAAAUUGGACUCAUAACGAGUUAUAAUCAUAUAAGUCAGAAAAUACUUUAGUGGUACGACACAGGUUGAACGUAACAGCAGUGACAAAAAUAAUUAUUUUGGUUUAGUGAAAACACAAAGUGAAUACACAUUUGUCAAGUCAUAUGGAGGUGAAUCAGAAAAAUUAGUCUUUCAUACAAGUCAGCAUUACAUUAUAAUAAUGGAUUUGAGAUGACAAAAAGGUGCGAUGAUAACCAAUCCUUGAGACUAGCCUCUUUAUCAUUUAAAGAGAACUGUUCAACUGCUCUAAUAUUUUAGUAUCUUCAGGUAAGUCACCUAAAUAUACUAAUAUGAAUUUAAAGUCUUCAUUUAA